rnacentral:rRNA from 1 species
CCUACGGGAGGCAGCAGUGAGGAAUAUUGGUCAAUGGACGCAAGUCUGAACCAGCCACGCCGCGUGCAUGAAGACGGCUCUCUGAGUUGUAAACUGCUUUUGUACGAGGGUAAACGCAGAUACGCGUAUCUGUCUGCAAGUACCGUACGAAUAAGGAUCGGCUAACUCCGUGCCAUCAGCCGCGGUAAUACGGAGGAUUCAAGCGUUGUCCGGAUUUAUUGGGUUGAAAGGGUGCGUAGGCGGUCGGAUAAGUUAGAGGUGAAAUCCCGAGGCUCAACUUCGGAAGUGCAUCUGAUACUGUUCGGCUAGAGAGUAGUAGCGGUAGGCGGAAUGUAUGGUGUAGCGGUGAAAUGCGUAGAGAUCAGACAGAACACCGAUGGCGAAGGCAGCUUACCAAGCUACAUCUGACGUUGAGGCACGAAAGCGUGGGGAGCAAACAGGAUUAGAUACCCCUGUAGUC